CCAGCCAGCCGGGUGCGGCCAAGGGCGAGCGGGGCUUUCCUGCACCCCCAGCCGGCCCCCUUCCCCACGGUUCCGACCCGGCUCGGAUCCGACCCGGCGCCCCCAGCCCAGCCGGGGGGCGCUCCACACCGAGACACACCCCCUGCCCGGCCUCCCGGGCCCAGCCAACCCACGUUCCCCUUGGCGAGACCCACAUAAAACAGACUCAAGGAACACAACACAACCCCCCCAAUAUUCAUCCCCAGGGAGGCACUCGGCGUGGGAAACUGCGGCCCAGAUUGUUUGGUAAAUGAGCAGCUGACAGCAGGCUCGUCUUGGAAGUGUCAUUACAUCACUACAGCUCUGCUUAUGUCACACGGAGGGUGCCUGAGAAAUGCCUAGGGUGAGAUCCUCUGAUCCGUCCAAGUGUUCUACAAUCCUCAACCCUAACAGCUGCUCACUCCUCCUCCCAUUUGAGGCUUGAAAUGGAUUAUUCCCAUUUUGCU